rnacentral:rRNA from 1 species
UACGUAGGGGGCAAGCGUUGUCCGGAAUCAUUGGGCGUAAAGAGCGUGUAGGCGGCCCGAUAAGUCCGCUGUGAAAGUCCAGGGCUCAACCCUGGGAUGCCGGUGGAUACUGUCGGGCUCGAGUCCGGAAGAGGAGACUGGAAUUCCUGGUGUAGCGGUGAAAUGCGCAGAUAUCAGGAGGAACACCAAUGGCGAAGGCAGCACUCUGGGACGUGACUGACGCUGAGACGCGAAAGCGUGGGGAGCAAACAGG